UACGUAUGGUGCAAGCGUUAUCCGGAGUGACUGGGUGUAAAGGGAGCGUAGACGGUUGUACAAGUCUGAUGUGAAAGCCCACGGCUCAACUGUGGGAGUGCAUUGGAAACUGUAGAACUAGAGUAUCGGAGAGGCAAGUGGAAUUCCUAGUGUAGCGGUGAAAUGCGUAGAUAUUAGGAGGAACACCAGUGGCGAAGGCGGCUUGCUGGACGAAAACUGACGUUGAGGCUCGAAAGCGUGGGGAGCAAACAGG
rnacentral:rRNA from 1 species